rnacentral:rRNA from 1 species
GUAGGGUGCGAGCGUUAAUCGGAAUUACUGGGCGUAAAGUGUGCGCAGGCGGCCCCGCAAGUCGAGUGUGAAAUCCCCGAGCUUAACUUGGGAAUGGCGCUCGAAACUACGGGGCUCGAGUGUGGCAGAGGGAGGUGGAAUUCCACGUGUAGCGGUGAAAUGCGUAGAGAUGUGGAGGAACACCAAUGGCGAAGGCAGCCUCCUGGGUCAACACUGACGCUCAUGCACGAAAGCGUGGGGAGCAAACAGGAUUAGAUACCCUGGUAGUCCACGCCCUAAACGAUGAUGACUAGUUGUUGGAGGAGUUAAAUCCUUUAGUAACGCAGCUAACGCGAGAAGUCAUCCGCCUGGGGAGUACGGUCGCAAGAUUA